rnacentral:misc_RNA from 1 species
UGGUUCUGGCAUCGAUGAAGAACGCAGCGAAAUGCGAUAAGUAGUGUGAAUUGCAGAAUUUAGUGAAUCAUCGAAUCUUUGAACGCACAUUGCGCCCUUUGGUAUUCCUUAGGGCAUGCCUGUUCGAGCGUCAUUUACCGAAAUCAAGCUACGCUUGGUGAUGGGUGUUUGUCCCCCCUCGUGUGUGGACUCGCCUUAAAAUCAUUGGCGGCCUGUGUGUCGGCUUCUAGCGCAGCACAUUUGCGCUUCUCGUCGUGCACGCUGGCGUCCAGAAAGCCUCUCCAUCUUGGUUGACCUCGGAUCAGGUAGGGAUACCCGCUGA